ACUUUCAACAACGGAUCUCUUGGUUCUCGCAUCGAUGAAGAACGCAGCGAAUUGCGAUACGUAGUAUGACUUGCAGACGUGAAUCAUCGAAUCUUUGAACGCACAUUG
rnacentral:rRNA from 1 species